AGAUAAAACUUAGAUAUGAGACAGAUUCACUCCACUGAUGACCAGAAUCAAUUCAGCUGAUCUGGCUGGUUAGAGGUGUCUUCUUCCUCCCUCACCACUCAGUAUGUGCCCCUCCAGAAGCUGUGUGCUUGGUUAUAUAUGACAACCAUCUGAGAUAGGAAUGUACUGUUCUUUGAUCAAGGGCAUAUGAUAGGUAAUGUAACAAUUUAUUUUUAUACAUGAUGUGUAAGAAAUAAUGGUCCAU
rnacentral:snRNA from 1 species